rnacentral:lncRNA from 1 species
CUGCUGUUCAGUGCCAGCUCUGGACACCUCUGAGGCAGCAGCAGCAGCAGCAUGUUGCGAGCACUGGGGGUCAUGGUCCUCACCCGCUGCCUCCUCCUCUUUCUGGUGGCCCUGCAAGCCCAGGAUGCCCAGUCUGCUCCAAUGCAAGGGCAGGGAGCAGUGAAAGAUACCCAGAAGAUACCAGAGGAGCUCCUAAGAGCCUUGGAGAAAGCUGCAUCUGGUUAGUAUAUCCCACUCUCUUAACCGUAGGACUUGGGAUGCUGAACUUUUUGCUUACUCUGGGGAUCUGCUGUAGCCUAUGCAGCAAGAAGGGAUCAGUCAGAGCCUCACUGCAAGGACACUCCAUUUCACACCUUGC